GAUGAACGCUGGCGGCGUGCUUAACACAUGCAAGUCGAACGCAGUGGCGAACAGGUGAGUAACACGUGAGUAACCUGCCCUUGACUUCGGGAUAAGCCCGGGAAACUGGGUCUAAUACUGGAUAGUUGGGGAUGGACUCGCGGCCUAUCAGUGUGUUGGUGGGGUAAGGGCCUACCAAGACGACGACGGGUAGCCGGCCUGAGAGGGUGACCGGGAACACGGGGACUGUGACACGGCCCAGACGACUACGGGAGGCAGCAGUGGGGAAGAUUGCACAAUGGGCGCAAGCCUGAUGCAGGGACGCCGCGUGAGGGAUGACGGCCUUCGGGUUGUAAACCUCUGUCAGUAGGGAAGCGGUACCUGCAGAAGAAGCGCCGGCUAACUACGUGCCAGCCGCCGCGGUAAUAC
rnacentral:rRNA from 1 species